rnacentral:tRNA from 1 species
GGGCCGGUGGUCUAGGGGUAGGAUACCUCCUUGACACGGAGGUGGUCGCGAGUUCGAAUCUCGUCCGGCCCACCA